GUGCUUGUUUUGGCAGCACAUAUACUAAGACUGGAACGAUACAGAGAAGAUUAGCAUGGCCCCUGAGUAAGGAUAAUAUGCAAAUUUGUGAAGUGUUUCAUAUUUCU
ensembl:snRNA U6 U6 spliceosomal RNA